ACCACUUAGUUACUGAUAUCAUCUCAAGACAUCUUCCCUAGGAAGCUGCCUUUCUAUAAGUUAAAGAACCCUGGACUAUUUUUCCUUGCCCUUCUACUGCAUUCAGCUUAAAUUUCUUCAAGAAGUGGUAACUGUUCUCUCUUUAUUGAUGACAUUAUUUAUAGAAAGAACAUUUUUGAAAAUAUGGAAAAGCAGUUUUGAAGUCCAAAGCUUCCUUGAAACCAUCAUUGUAGGGGAACAGGCAGUUUUACCAGGAAGUAUGAGAUCUCUGGGAGUUGAGAUAUUAACAGUUUAUGUAACAGGGAAGAUGCCAGGUUUGAGAACAUGGAACUGCAAAAUGAAUCUGAGUCUGAGCAGCUAUAACAGGAAGCCUGUCCUAGAUUGAUAUGGAUUCCAAAGAUGAAAUCAACUACUUAAAAAAAGGAGUUCCCGCUGUGGCUCAGUAGGUUGAGAACUCAACUAGUACCCACUAGGUUGUGGGUCUGAUCCCUGGCCUUGCUCAGUGGGUUAAGGAUCCCAUGGCAUUACUGCAUGCUGCAGCAUAGGUCACAGAUGCAGCCUGGAUCUGGCAUUGUUGUGGCUGUCACGUAGGUUGGCAGACGCAGCUCCAAUUCAACCCCUAGCCCUGGGAACUUCAUAUGCCACACUCGUGGCCUGAAAAAGGGGGUGGGGGGGGAGAGAGAAGGAAAAAAAAGCUAUACAGCAAAAUCAAAGAGCAGCAUUGAAAGUAAAUGCAAAGAAACAGCCCACAGCUGAAGUCAGGUAUACACAUUGAGAGGGAAAUCUGAUUCUUAAUUCCUAAAAGGCAAUUAGCCAAUAUACGAAUAUAUGAGGUUCCUAAUGAAUCAACUCUUCCUUGCUUGAGGGAGCAAGAGGUACUACUCCAGCUGUCAACCAUCUCUUACUAUGUUUAGGGAUCCUAUAAAGGAAAGUCAACCCUUUAAAGAAAAUGCGGAAAGUUUUGUUUUUCAGACACUUUUAUCACUAUAUUAGGCUGGAAAAUAUAUUAUAACAAGCAAAACACCCAUAAGUCCCUGAGAAGGGGUAGAUUAAACCACAGUUAUCCCAGCUCCUAUCUGUAAUCCCUUUUCCUAGAAUGGCUGGGCUGUAUUCCAUUUAAUUCAUUUCCUUACUCUGAAACGAAUUAUUUGGAGUUGGUAAUUAAAACACACAUGCUAUUUUCUGUUUUAUUUAUGAAGUACAGAUGUAAUCAUGUUAUAUAAUACAAGUUUUUGAAAUGUGAAAGGUUUUCGUCAUGGGUAAAUUGACUCGGAUCACAAAGGGCUAUCCUUUGCGGUGGUCCAGGAAACAAUAAAAGUGACAUUUGUUUUAAUAAAAUGUAUGUGUGUAAUAUAGCUUGUGGUUUACUCACAGUGAGGGAGAAAGAAGUCAGAUACUUAGAAAAGCCAGUUAAUAAAAUCCUAUGUAAUCUUCAAGAAGAAAAGGAUUAGAAAGAUGAAGAAAUGUAAUUUCGCUUAAUAAAAUAUUUUAAAAGCAAAGUGUUGGGCAAAUCUAGUGUAUAGAUUUAAAGAACAAAUGAUACUGAAAAUGAGAAGACCCUCAGUUUUUUAAUAUAAGUUCUUGACUUAUUAAAAUAUUAUAUAUGAUCUAACAAAAAUAUUUUGUGUCAAAUGUAUGUGAAGCCAACAUUAUUAUAUUUUGGAGGAAGCCUAGAAGCAAACAAACGAAAAAUGCCUCAUGAAUGCUAUCAGCCAUGCCCUCAUUGUUUGUAAGUAAAAGAUGUAUCAUGGCAUAACUAGCUCCAUCCUUGCAGAACUAAAAAGGAUUCUAAUACAGAGAAAAUAUUUGUACCAUUGUUUUUAUUUAUUUAAAUCCUACCUUUUUGGGCUUAAUUAAUGUUCAGUUUGGAAGGAUUGCAAUUAAGGUUCAGUCUGCUUGAAAGAAAUUUCCUAUUCAGAAUUGCUUGCUUACUGUGCUGGUUCCCUCACUUCUUGUUCUAGGAAAUCAUUUCUAAAUAAUUAACUAGGCAAUGGUACAAACUAAGGUAACUGAUUAGUUUUUCCUAACUCUUAGGAAUUCUUAAAAAUACAACUCUCCUGAUGACUAGGAGCCCUAACAGCCUAAUCCCCAGAGUGGUAGUUAGGAGACCUAACUCUGCCCCUGGCUUGCUGUGGAACUUUAAACAAGUUGCUUAGCCUCUCUGAGCUGUAGAGUUUCAUAUGUUAGCGGUAUGAUCAUACCUUCUCUGGUCGCCUCACAAGGUAGCUUUGAGGUGGAUGAUGUGAAGGAAAGUUGAAAAGGUAAUAGCAGUCUCUGAGUAUGUUGUUAUCCUUCAAAUAAGAAAAUCAAGCAUCUAUUUAGUAAUAGCAGUAGGGGAAUGUUGCUGCUUUUGCAGCUUUUUCAAAUCUAUGUACCUCUUGUCCAUAAGCUCCUACUUCCCACUGAAUCAGAUGAGACAGUACAUUUGGUGAGACAGUUCACCACUAUGCUGAAGGGCAGAAGCAAGCAUUUUUAAAAAUGUAGCUUGCUAGAAGAUAUCUGGGAAGCAGCAACAGAUAUAUUGCCGUUUUGAGCUGAAUCAUUUUGUUGACCACAAGGCAGAACGGCAGCAAGCUCGGAUGGGAGAACUCUAGUCAUUAUCCAAAGGUCAGACUUGAUAAGCAGACUCUGCUGUUUCUUCCCCUACUCCCAUAUGUCUGGAGGGCCAUGUGGACAGCAGGGAAACCAGAAAUCUCACUGUCAAAAAGGUGUUUAAGUGAUUUUCUGCUAAUAGAACUGGCUAUAUUCUGUGCAGAAUGACAGGAUUCCCGUCUUCAAGGAGUUCUUAAUCUAAGGAAGUAAGACAGCAGCAGGAACUUCAGGUAGAGUCCACAUCUGUCAUAUUGCUUGGCUCAAAGUAGGCAUUCUGUAAAUGUCAUUUGGAUGAUUGGGGAAAUGAAUGGGUGACAGAUGAGUAAUGAAUGAACAAUGAACUUUGAAAGGUGAUUCCUUGGAGUUACUGUUUGGAAAAGCAGAGGUGACAACUUGAAAACAUUUAGCAGUGUAACUUAGAGCCAAGCAUCUGCUUCCACUAGAAAUGUAAAGAUUUGAAAUCUAGACCAGGGGUGGGGAAUACAUUUAUGAUUUUCACUAAUUUGAAUUUAAAAUGAAAACAACUCUUGAAAUUAAGAAUUCUAGCUCUUAUACAUGAAGUUACACUCCAAUGAGUUACUUCCUAUAUUAUGAAGAUAUGUUGAAUACUUUACGAUAAUCAUUUUUAGCCAAUUUGAUUUAUUUACUACUAAAACAUCUUGAAGGUAACUUUUACAGUUUUUCUUUCAUCAGUGGUGAACUAUGCAACAGUAAAAACUUUAACCCCAACACAAAUCCUACAGGUAAGGCAGUGCGGUACAAAGGAAAGAUUUGUAGCCAGAGGAUCUGGGUUCCAGCUCCUCCACACGUUCAUGUCAUAAGUUUGGGUAAAUUGUUGAAGCUCUCCUGAGCUGCACUUUUCUCAUCUGUAAUCCAGCAACAUCACAUGAAUGUUGUGUAAGCGCUUGGUAAGCUGUAAACUUCUAUAAUGUCAGUGGUUGGGAAAGGAAUUCGAGAUGAUGUCCUAGUGCUCCAAGACUGUGAUUUCUGGCCUUCUGGUAUAGAGAGUGUAAUGUGGUUCCUGAAUGUUGGCCACCACCCUGAGAACAUUCACCUUAAUGAUAGUUACAUGAAAGAUUCCCUAAAGUUACCAUUAAACAAAAUGUAUUUAAUAUGGCAGUUCAACAGAUUGUAAGUUACAAGUUUUGACUCCAUUUAUAUGGUACUACUUUUUUGAAGACUUCUCCUAUAUUUGCCAACUCACAUGGCCCUUACCAUGCAUUGCUCUGGUUUGCAAUGACCAGAAUGGAGUUGUUUCAUUGAUAGGCCCUCAUAGCAUUUGACAGGCACCAAAGUUGUUAGAAGCUUUGGUGCAAUAUAAUUGUCACUCCCACUAAACUGCAAAAUGACCAUUUCAAUUUGGAGGAUUAUUAUCCUACUGAACAUAAAUCAAUUCGCUGUCCUCUAGAAUGUAACUGUGUUUAAGAGCAAUAGGCAAGCCACAGCUAUUCUCUGUGUGUUGGAUGAGGUUAUAAGUGUGUUACCAAAUGCUCAAAUCAGGUUAUUACCGAAGCACAAUUCUGUAUCCAAGAGGGAAGACAACUAUUAAGAAUGAGCUUAGAAAAAAAGACAUUUUAUAGAUGUAUUAAAAUAGAAAACAUAAGCUGAUUAGGCAAAGUUCCAAAGAUUCAUUAGUUUAUUAAAGUAGAUUGAAAUGAAUGUUUGAGAGAUUUAAAUAAAUUAACCUUUAAUGAGUACCCAGGGGCCAAGGAAAAAGAAUGACAGAGGAUUAGGAGUAUUUUGUCUGAUUGUUGCAUAAUGCACACUGAUUAGUUUUUUUUCUGAAUGCUCAUUGCUAUAUAACAAUACUAAUAAAUAAAAAGAUUAAAUUUAAAAUAUCUCCAAAUUGUAAUUGUUGCCUGCUCUUAUGUGUACACAAAUACCAUACUUGGAUUUAAUAGCAGUCCCUAUAACUUUGGCAGAGGGAUACAAGAAUUUUUGUCAGUGCAUCAUUACAUUUUGAAAUGUCUUAUAUUGUGAGCAAAGCUUUGGUCAAUUAGGGUAAUUUAUUCCUAACAUGUUAGACAUGUUUUUAGCAUUUCAGUGUUAGAUUCUUAUUCUGAGUUUCACAAUAAUUGUGCUCUAAAUAAUAUUAAUUGACAACAAGUUACUUAAAAGAUAUAUUGGUAUUUAAACAUCUUAUUUUUAAAAAACAACUUUUCUGCACUUCCUUAACAAGUUCGGGUUUAUAAUUAGCAAAAUUCUUAAGGCGAUUUUUUUGGAGCAGUGUUGGAAAUGCUUUGAUUUUUUUCAGGGUGCCUUGACUGUACUACUAUUAAAUCCUUUACUGACUGCGAAAUAAGUUUUGGGUAGGUGAUGCUAGGAAGGCAUUCUUCUAGUUUUCUACCCCAUUACUGAGUUGUAUAUCAGGUUUCUAUAAAUAUCUUCCAUCUACACAUUUGUUAUCAUUGUUUUAUUUUAAAAGCAGAGGUUAGAGAUCACAUAGUUCAACUGUCAUCCUUCAGAUGAGGAAACCUUGACCGAGAAUGACUUGCCCAAGGUUCUCCACUAAGCUGAUGGAAGAACAGAGACCAGAGCUUGUGUCUUUAUGGCCUGUACUUCCGCUAUACUUAACUCCGUCCUUCCUUUGCAUUUUUUACUUUUUACCAGAUCUUUCCUAAAGUUCAGUGGAAUCACUAAGGAAUCAUUGAGGUGACAGGUAACAUAGGCAAACCACACUGCACCCUGAUUUUCUUAAAUGUAGUUGUAGUUUAGAUGCAGUGCUUCCCACCAUCCUUCAUGAUGUUGUAUAUGUAGUAGAGCAAACGAAUGAUCUAUUUGAUGGCAGCGGUGACUGGCCUGGGGACCUAAGUGUUUGAGAUUGGAGACCAAUCCCCAAGGCAGUGAGGACUCUUCCUCCCUAGAUAAGAAAACAGACAAAAUAUUUCUUAAGUAUUUUAGCUGUUACCUCCUGGACCAAGGAAAGGAAUGUAAUCCUGUAAUUACACUUUGCCUGAAUUUUUUUCCCAAGACUUCAUGUUUUGGUUUGGGGUUUUUUUGGUUGCCAGAAACCCUUGUAAUCUUUCCAACUUUUCCAUAGAAGCAUCAUAGCCCAGACAAGCUUAGGUCUAACCUAUUUAUACCACACAACCAAUUCAGAGCCCUGCAUAUUGUAGAUAAUGAGAAAUUGAACUUAUUCUCCAAGUGUCAUUGG
rnacentral:lncRNA from 1 species